CUGGCGGCAUGCCUAACACAUGCAAGUCGAACGAAGCCUUCGGGUUUAGUGGCGCACGGGUGCGUAACGCGUGGGAAUCUGCCCCUUGGUUCGGAAUAACAGUUGGAAACGACUGCUAAUACCGGAUGAUGACGUAAGUCCAAAGAUUUAUCGCCGAGGGAUGAGCCCGCGUAGGAUUAGGUAGUUGGUGUGGUAAAGGCGCACCAAGCCGACGAUCCUUAGCUGGUCUGAGAGGAUGAUCAGCCACACUGGGACUGAGACACGGCCCAGACUCCUACGGGAGGCAGCAGUGGGGAAUAUUGGACAAUGGGCGAAAGCCUGAUCCAGCAAUGCCGCGUGAGUGAUGAAGGCCUUAGGGUUGUAAAGCUCUUUUACCCGGGAUGAUAAUGACAGUACCGGGAGAAUAAGCUCCGGCUAACUCCGUGCCAGCAGCCGCGGUAAUACGGAGGGAGCUAGCGUUAUUCGGAAUUACUGGGCGUAAAGCGCACGUAGGCUGCUUUGUAAGUAAUAGGUGAAAGC
rnacentral:rRNA from 1 species